AACGAACGCUGGCGGCAUGCCUAACACAUGCAAGUCGAACGAGACCUUCGGGUCUAGUGGCGCACGGGUGCGUAACGCGUGGGAACCUGCCCUUAGGUUCGGAAUAACUCCCCGAAAGGGGUGCUAAUACCGGAUAAUGUCUUCGGACCAAAGAUUUAUCGCCUUUGGAUGGGCCCGCGUUGGAUUAGCUAGUUGGUAGGGUAAAAGCCUACCAAGGCGACGAUCCAUAGCUGGUCUGAGAGGAUGAUCAGCCACACUGGGACUGAGACACGGCCCAGACUCGUCCGGGAGGCAGCAGGGGGGAAUGUUGGACAAUGGGCGAGAGACUGAGACAGCAAUGCCGCGUGAGUGAUGAAGGCCUUAGGGUUGUAAAGCUCUUUUACCCGGGAUGAUAAUGACAGUACCGGGAGAAUAAGCGCCGGCUAGCUUCGUG
rnacentral:rRNA from 1 species